GUGCUCACUUCGGCAGCACAUAUACUAAAACUGAAACAAUGUGGGGAUUAGCACAGCCCCUGCACAAGUAUACCAUGAAAAUUUGUGAAGCAUUCCAUAUUUUA
ensembl:snRNA U6 U6 spliceosomal RNA